GACGAACGCUGGCGGCGUGCUUAACACAUGCAAGUCGAACGGAAAGGCCCUGCUCUUGUGGGGUGCUCGAGUGGCGCACGGGUAAGUAACACGCGAGUAACCUGCACUUGACUUUGGGAUAACUUCAGGAAACUGGGGCUAUUACCGGAUAGGAGCUUCUGCUGCAUGGUGGGGGUUGGAAAGUUUCGGCGGUUGGGGAUGUACUCGCGGCUUACCAGCUUGUUGGUGGGGUAGUGGCUUACCCAGGCUUUGACGGGUAGCCGGCCUGAGAGGGUGACCGGCCACAUAGGGACUGGGAUACGGCCCAGAGUGCUACUGGCGGCAGCAGUGGAGAAUAUUGCACAAUGGGCGGAAGCCUGAUGCAGGAACGCCGCGUGCGGGAUGACGGCCUUCGGGUUGUAAACUGCUUUCGCCUGUGACGAAGCGUGUGUGACGGUAAUGGGUAGAGAAGCACCGGCUAACUACGU
rnacentral:rRNA from 1 species